GACGGACCGUGCGAACGUUGUUCGGAAUCACUGGGCUUAAAGGGCGCGUAGGCGGGCUCGCAAGUCAGGGGUGAAAUCCCACGGCUCAACCGUGGAAGUGCCUUUGAUACUGCGGGCCUUGAGGGAGGUAGGGGCGUGCGGAACUUCCGGUGGAGCGGUGAAAUGCGUAGAUAUCGGAAGGAACACCGGUGGCGAAAGCGGCGCGCUGGACCUCUUCUGACGCUGAGGCGCGAAAGCCAGGGGAGCAAACGGG
rnacentral:rRNA from 1 species